rnacentral:rRNA from 1 species
GACGAACGCUGGCGGCGUGCUUAACACAUGCAAGUCGAACGGAAAGGCCCUGCUUUUGUGGGGUGCUCGAGUGGCGAACGGGUGAGUAACACGUGAGUAACCUGCCCUUGACUUUGGGAUAACUUCAGGAAACUGGGGCUAAUACCGGAUAGGAGCUCCUGCUGCAUGGUGGGGGUUGGAAAGUUUCGGCGGUUGGGGAUGGACUCGCGGCUUAUCAGCUUGUUGGUGGGGUAGUGGCUUACCAAGGCUUUGACGGGUAGCCGGCCUGAGAGGGUGACCGGCCAAAUUGGGACUGAGAUACGGCCCAGACUCCAACGGGAGGAAGCAGUGGGGAAUAUUGCACAAUGGGCGGAAGCCUGAUGCAGCAACGCCGCGUGCGGGAUGACGGCCUUCGGGUUGUAAACCGCUUUCGCCUGUGACGAAGCGUGAGUGACGGUAAUGGGUAAAGAAGCACCGGCUAACUACGUG